AGUAAAUCAGCCUCUGGGUAUUCUUGAAUCUGGGUGUGGGUUUGUGUUUUGACGAGAUCAAGAUUGCAAAAACCAUUGUUCAGUCAACCACUAAAACCUCCACAGAUCUGUCUGAAUUGCAAAUGUUACUGGAAAAGUUCCAAUGCACUUUGUCUCAGAAAAGCCAGACAGUGAGAGAGACACAGAAGCAACCAAAAGAGAUGGAAGCAAUGUUUAAUACUCAAUCUCGUCGCAGUCAUCUCACCUCGACACCACCUGUCGCCCACCGCUCCAGUCCCCAGCGUCACCACCUCCGUCACCGGUCAACGGAGAGCGACAAAUCGGAGACCAAAUAGGAGCAAAUACGAACGGCAGUGGAAGAGGAGGAUGCAAAGUGGGCCCCAUUUAAGAACUGCCUCAAGGUUGGACUCCCCGGGAGUAGAAUCUUGGUGACCUCAAGGAGUGAGAGGGUUGCGAGAAUGAUGGGUAGUGUGUAUCUGCAUCGGGUGGAGUUAAUAUCUGAGUCAGAUGCUUGGUUGGUGCUUAGCAAGAUCGCAUGUUCUGGGGGGAGGGAUGACACUUAUUCUGAGAAACUGGAAGAAAUUGGUAAGCAAAUUGCUCAAAAGUGCAAAGGACUGCCACUUGCUGUUAAGGUUAUGGGAAGCCUGUUACGUAACAAAGAUACUAAGGAGGAAUGGCAAUAUGUUUUGGAUGAUAAAUUUUGGAAGAUGGAGAAAGUGGAAACAUGUCUCUUUCCUCAUUUGUAUCUAAGCUAUCAUGAAUCAUGAUCUAACCCCACAAAUGAAGCGAUGUUUCUCAUAUUGUGCUGUUUUUCCCAAGGAUUGUAGAAUAUAUGUAGAUGACCUAAUCAGACUUUUGGAUGGCGCAAGGUUAUCUCACAACAACAAAUUAAAUGACAGUGAUCAUAAUCAGAUUGAACAGAAAGGCUGGGAGAUUUUUAAGAAUUUAGCAAUGCUCUCUUUUUUCCAAGAUUUUGAGAAUGAUUACAGGGAUCCGAACAUCAUUAUAUCUUGCAAAAUGCAUGACAUAGUGCAUGUUUUUGUCGAGUUUCUUACCAAAAAUGAAUGUUACAGUGUUGUUUGGCAGGAGGAUAAGGUGAAGAUUGAAAUCUACGUCAUCUAUCAUGGCUGAAAACUGGAAGGCCUAUGGAUCUUGCUUCCAUAUAUGCUGUCCUUGGAAAACUUCACACCUUUUUUGCUGAAGACUUGUCUCCCGAACAACUUACUCUAAAAAUAUUCAAUGGUCUAAAAUAUGUGAAAGUAUUAGCUUGCAUGGCUCUAUGCUAUGGAAACUCCUAGAGGAGAUAGGAAAUUUGAUUCAUCUCAGGUACAUUGAUUUACGUUCAAGCAUAAUAUAUAAGAGAAUUAUCAAA